GAGUUUGAUCCUGGCUCAGGACGAACGCUGGCGGCAUGCCUAACACAUGCAAGUCGAACGGACAUGGCGAGGAUAUAGCGAUAUAUUUUGAGCUAUGUUAGUGGCGAACGGGUGAGUAACACGUGAGCAACCUGCCCUUUACUACGGGAUAACGCUCGGAAAACAGGCGCUAAUACGGUAUAAGACCACACUAGUGCAUCAUAGAGCGGUAAAAGCGAUUUAGCGGUAAAGGAUGGGCUCGCGUUCCAAUUAGCUGGUUGGUAGGGUAACGGCCUACCAAGGCGACGAUUGGUAGCCGACCUGAGAGGGUGAUCGGCCACACUGGAAUCGAGACACGGUCCAGACUCCUACGGGAGGCAGCAGUGGGGAAUAUUGGGCAAUGGAGGAAACUCUUACCCAGCAAUGCCGCGUGAGCGAAGAAGGUCUUC
rnacentral:rRNA from 1 species